rnacentral:rRNA from 1 species
UACGUAGGUGACAAGCGUUGUCCGGAUUUACUGGGCGUAAAGAGCGCGCAGGCGGUCGUUCAAGUCGAGUGUGAAAGCCCCCGGCUCAACUGGGGAGGGUCACUCGAUACUGAUCGACUCGAAGGCAGGAGAGGGUAAUGGAAUUCCCGGUGUAGUGGUGAAAUGCGUAGAUAUCGGGAGGAACACCAGUGGCGAAGGCGACUACCUGGCCUGUUCUUGACGCUGAGGCGCGAAAGCUAGGGGAGCAAACGGG